AAAAGGUAACUCCCAUAACAUUCAGAGUCACUGUAUCCUUGACCAACAUGGAAGGGCUAGCCCUGAGAAAAUGAGGUCAGCACACAGUGGUAUCAUGCAUCAUUUUGUGUGUCAAAAAACACCCAUAAAAGUAGUCUAUUAUCAUCAAUGACAACUGGACAAGCACUGAUGUUAAAAUACUGGGUUCUCACUACAGUGAACUGACAUGGCAGAUACUCAGACCCACUCACAACAGCCCAGCGCAAAAGCCUUGUGGUGUGUCAUCCUCUCCAAGGGCUAAUCAGAAACAGAGAUGAAAGAAAGGAAGUGAUAACAAUUGUGCAAAGUAAAUCCUAUUUUAAAGGGGGUAAUGAGGCUCAGGUGUUAUUUUGUUUUCACAGCAGUGAAACAACUGCUGUUGUGAACGGUAAAAUACCUUAGCUGUAUUUUCUCUGAAUAACAUAUUUUUAUUUCUGAUCAGUCUCCCAGAAAUACCCAUGAGACAAAGAUGUAACUACUAAACUAAAAGGAAAACAAUGAAAAUUCUAUUGUUUCCUCUAUUUCUGAAGCAGUAUUAUACUCAUGAUGCAUUAUUCAGCUAUUAGAAAUAAAAAAAAUAGCCUAAAGUUUU
rnacentral:lncRNA from 1 species